rnacentral:rRNA from 1 species
ACUUGAGUGCAGAAGAGGACAGUGGAACUCCAUGUGUAGCGGUGGAAUGCGUAGAUAUAUGGAAGAACACCAGUGGCGAAGGCGGCUGUCUGGUCUGCAACUGACGCUGAGGCUCGAAAGCAUGGGUAGCGAACAGGAUUAGAUACCCUGGUAGUCCAUGCCGUAAACGAUGAGUGCUAGGUGUUGGAGGGUUUCCGCCCUUCAGUGCCGGAGCUAACGCAUUAAGCACUCCGCCUGGGGAGUACGACCGCAAGGUUGAAACUCAAAGGAAUUGACGGGGGCCCGCACAAGCGGUGGAGCAUGUGGUUUAAUUCGAAGCUACGCGAAGAACCUUACCAGGUCUUGACAUCUUGCGCUAACCUUAGAGAUAAGGCGUUCCCUUCGGGGACGCAAUGACAGGUGGUGCAUGGUCGUCGUCAGCUCGUGUCGUGAGAUGUUGGGUUAAGUCCCGCAACGAGCGCAACCCUUGUUACUAGUUGCCAGCAUUAAGUUGGGCACUCUAGUGAGACUGCCGGUGACAAACCGGAGGAAGGUGGGGACGACGUCAGAUCAUCAUGCCCCUUAUGACCUGGGCUACACACGUGCUACAAUGGACGGUACAACGAGUCGCAAGCUCGCGAGAGUAAGCUAAUCUCUUAAAGCCGUUCUCAGUUCGGACUGUAGGCUGCAACUCGCCUACACGAAGUCGGAAUCGCUAGUAAUCGCGGAUCAGCAUGCCGCGGUGAAUACGUUCCCGGGCCUUGUACACACCGCCCGUCACACCAUGGGAGUUUGUAACGCCCAAAGUCGGUGGCCUAACCAUUAUGGAGGGAGCCGCCUAAGGCGGGACAGAUGACUGGGGUGAAGUCGUAACAAGGUAGCCGUAGGAGAACCUGCGGCUGGAUCACCUCCUUUCUAAGGAA